CUCUGCCAAUCUGGUGAAAAAUAGCAUCUCCUUGUUAUUCAAAUUUGUGUUUCUCUUUUUAUUAGGGAAACUCAGCAUCUUUUCUAAUGUGUAAGAGACAUUUACAUUUCUGUUCUGCUAAGGGAUUUUUUUGGCCCUUUUGAAAACUGGGUGAGCUCUUUCUCGAUUCCAUCUUUGUGGUCGCGGCAGUGGUGUCCGCGAUCUAGUUGCCAACAUGCAGCUCUUUGUCCACGCCCAGGAGCUACACACUCUCAAUGUGACUGGCCAGGAGACAGUCGCCCAAAUCAAGGCUCAUGUAGCUUUGAUGGAGGGCAUCGCUCCAGAAGAUCAAGUCCUACUCCUGGCUGGCACGCCCCUAGAGGAUGAGACUCUGGGCCAGUGUGGCGUGGAGGCUCCGAGCACUCUGGAAGUAGCCGGCUGCAUGCCUGGAGGUAAAGUCCGUGGUUCCCUGGCCCACGCUGGGAAAGUGAGAGGUCAGACUCCCAAGGUGGCCAAGCAAGAGAAGCAGCAGAAGACGGGCAGGCCAAGAGUUGUACGCAGGACAACCGGCGCUGUGUCAGUGUCGGGCCCACCUUUGGCAAUAAGAAGGGCCCUAAUGCCAACUCCUAAGUCCUCUGUAACCUUGGCUUUCUCUAACAAAGCCACUUAACCCAAUCAAUCAUUUAAAAAAUUAAAAACUGGGUGAUUAAUAUAAAUAUAUUUCUUAUUGAUUAGCAGAGGCUCUUACUAGGGAAACUUAACCUUGUUUGGAUUUGAGUUGCAAAUGAGUUUCUCCUAGUUUGUUAUUAGUCUUUGUUUAUUGUGGUCUUUGUCAUAGGUUUUUCACUGUGGUUUUUUUUUUUUUUUUAAUGAAUGUAUUGGCAUUCUUUUAAAAAGGCUUCAAAUGAUCUAAAUGUCCAUUGACAGAUGGAUGGAUAAAGAUGUGUGUAUACUUUAGUACUUUCAGUAACCUCAAUGGCAAAUUCAGGAAGGAGGAGGAAAGAAUUUGGAAGCAGUGAUGGGUACAAGACAUCUAUUUCACCUCCAGGUCUUGGGAAUUGUGAAGUUUAUGAGAAAAAGCAGCUCCAGCCUGAGGCUUCUCAGGGGAAACCAUGAUUCCAGGGGCCCACUUGGCCCAGUUUCAGUGAAGGCACAAGGUGAAGGGUUUAUUCAUCAAGGAAGCGGAGUCAGCAGGGGGUCAGGAUUUGUCACCCCAAAAUAUGCCACUUUGGCCUUUUGAUUUUUCUGAAUUAAAGGUACUUAAGAAAUAGCCAGUACAAAAAGGACAGUCUGACCCUCCUUGUCCCCCUAAUCAGCAGGUGAUAACCCCCCAUAGGAAAGGGAGCAGAGGGGUUGAGGGCAUCCUUAUCACCAGAGAGAGGGAGUCUAGGGCUGAGAAUGCCGUAUAAACACACUGUGCUACUUCUUCACCAACUCACUACCCCGAGCCCAAACCCCUUUGCUCAACCCUUCACAAAUCUGUGGUUUUUUUGUCUAAAAGAUAUAAAAGCUUCCAGUUUCAGUCACUUCUUUGAGUCUCAUAUUUUUAUGAAGCUCUGGUACAU